AUUCAUUUAGUAUAUAAAGUAUAUUUAACUUCCAAUUAAAAGGAUAAAAAAAAAUGAAUA
rnacentral:tRNA from 1 species